UGGGCUCAUGACCAGCUGAGGUGCCUUCUCUAGAAUCAUUCACAAACAGUCUCAAGGAUGUUGGGUGAUGUGCCCGGGCAAAGGCAGUGACAAGAGGCAGGAGUCUGCUGCACACUGUUCACUCUCACCCUGAAGCCCUCACUGGAAGCCUCCCCUGCAUGGUCCCCAGGGAGAGGAUGAGUUUCUGCAAAGUUCCUUUGGUUUCUGGGUGCAGAACAACCUCCUUGCCAUGAGGACCUCACCUGAAGAAGAGUUUUUUGUGCAAUUUGUGCUGCUUCUCACAACUUUUUGCCAGCACAACCUCACUGGCACUUGCCCUGCUGCAUGGGAAGCUGAGCUGCACACCCAAGCUGUGAGAUCCUCCAGAGAGAAGCUGCUAUGCUCAAAUAAACCCAUGAGGACAGAAUAAGUUCAAGGACCCGACUGCAUAAUUAGUUUUGAGAUGAGUAGAAUUCUCUAUUUUAGAGGCACCUGACAUUUGAGGCUGAUGGGGGAUAACAAGGUCAAGUAGCAAAUAAUAUAAUAAACUCACUGAAAUUUAUAAAUCUGCAAGUUAGACUGAAGAAUUUGCUUUCAUCUUCAGAGCAUCUGCUGCUUCUCAGGAGGGCAUGCAAGAAUUUUACCCUUUCCCUUUUUUUAUUUUAAAUUUCAGUCACAGGGACUAUGUUAGGACUUAAGAAGCUGCACUAUUUCUUGGUGUCUGUUUUGGAUUUAAUUGACUAAUGAGACUGGAAACACUGACUCUUCUGAUUUUCUGUAUUUAAUGCUGGUCAUGCUGUGGCUGAGAAAAAAGAAGCUCUAAGAAAUGGCCUCAGUUUGCAUGACUGUGAGGGAAUCUAAUUUAUGCUGCAUGAAGAAUAAACACAAGUAUAUCCUUUUCCAGGGCUGCCAGUAUUCAAAGGGGUGGAUUUUGAAGAAAUAAGGUGACUAACAAAGUUGUCUGGUCUGAGGAGCUCAGAGCCUGGAGAGUGGAAAAGAUGGAUUUCUUUCAGGUAC